CUUACAGAGUGCUACCGACUCAAGGAUAGCGACCUUGUCCACUUCACAAAUGAGGAGACAGAGCCUGGGCCGGUGAGCGAGGACUCCCUGAGCUCUGGGCAGUGGCCUGGGGACUCCAGCACCUAAUUCCCCGGACUCCCACCCUGCCUGCCGCUGCCAGUUCUGACAGCCAGUUCUGCCGGGCGAAGCCCAAAUAUGACCCAUUCCCUAUGAGGACCAGAAACAAAGAUGCACAGGACCUAAGAGUAAACAGUGACAGUUACCACUCUUGCUGACCAUGAAAUGGAACAUUUGUUACCCGGGGUUUAUGGUUCACGACGGAGCGGUCUUCGAGGCGUGGGGAUCGGCCGCGUCCCAUGCCUGCUCCGGGGUGGCGGGCCUCUCCUCCACGGAGCCUUCUCUGGGGGCCUCAGGAAUGAGCUGUUCACUCACCCAUUGGCCUCCAUCGCCUCCUGAGGCAGCUGCCAGAUGGACUCAUACAAUAAGCCUCCUAACCAGAUCUGGGCUGACCCCAGAGAGAAGGAUUCUGAGAACGAGUUCUGAAGAAGUCUGCUGGUUUUAGGCGAGGAAA